rnacentral:piRNA from 1 species
UUUAAUGGUGAAAUGCUUG